CUGCAGCCAGUCAACCUUCCGGACAGGUUGUCUUCCCACUCCUCUCUGUCCCUUCCCGCCUUCUCUCCUCCAUCUUCCCUCGAAUAAACCUCAUUUUUGGAAAAGUGGCUGUGUUUGUGGAGCCCUCCUUCACCACUGGCGUGCUGUGUUAGCCGGGACUGGGAUCGCCUGCAGAGCAGUUCGGGGGAACCUCUUUCCCGGGGAGUUGGAUCCAUCUGACUGCCCAGGACAAGAACCCGAGCGGGACCCCCACACCACCAGGGACUCCAGAAUCCUGCAGUGAGGUUGGUGAAAAGGAAGGAGGGGGAGGAGAAGGUGCUCCAGAUGUCAGACCUGAGAUUCUUCUGUAAGCCAUGGUGACCUGGCCGGGUGGAUGCAGGAAAGGCUGUGGAUGUUGUCUAUUUGGACUUCAAUAAGGCCUUUGACACUGUCUCCAAGAGCACACUCCUGGAAAAACCGGUGGCCCAGGGCUUGGACAGGAGCACUCUUUUCUGGGUUCAGAACUGGCUGGAUGGCCAGGCCCAGAGAGGGGUGGUGAGCAGUGCUGCAUCCAGCUGGGGGCUGAUCACCAGUGGUGUCCCUCAGGGGUCUGUGCUGGGGCCAGUUCUGUUCAAUACUUUUAUUGACAACAUGAAUGAGGGUAUUGAGUCUUCCAUUGGUAAAUCUGCAGAUGACACUAA